rnacentral:rRNA from 1 species
GAAUCUGCCUUUUGGUUUGGAAUAACACGGGGAAACUUGUGCUAAUACCGAAUAAGCCUUUACAGGGAAAGUUUUAACGCCGAAAGAUGAGCCUGCACUUGAUUAGCUAGUUGGUAAGGUAAAAGCUUACCAAGGCAACGAUCAAUAGCUGUUCUUAGAGGAAGACCAGCCACAUUGGGACUGAGACACGGCCCAGACUCCUACGGGAGGCAGCAGUGGGGAAUCUUGCACAAUGGGGGAAACCCUGAUGCAGCGAUGCCGCGUGAGUGAAGAAGGCCUUUGGGUUGUAAAACUCUUUCGUCGGGGAAGAAAAUGACUGUACCCGAAUAAGAAGGUCCGGCUAACUUCGUGCCAGCAGCCGCGGUAAUACGAAGGGACCUAGCGUAGUUCGGAAUUACUGGGCUUAAAGAGCUCGUAGGUGGUUAAAAAAGUUGAUGGUGAAAUCCCAAGGCUCAACCUUGGAACUGCCAUCAAAACUUUUUAGCUAGAGUGUGAUAGAGGUAAGUGGAAUUUCUAGUGUAGAGGUGAAAUUCGUAGAUAUUAGAAAGAACACCAAAUGCGAAGGCAACUUACUGGGUCACUACUGACACUGAGGAGCGAAAGCAUGGGUAGCGAAGAGGAUUAGAUACCCUCGUAGUCCAUGCCGUAAACGAUGUGUGCUAGACGUUGGAAAUAUAUUUUUCAGUGUCGCAGCGAAAGCAUUAAGCACACCGCCUGGGGGAGUACGACCGCAAGGUUAAAACUCAAAUGAAUUGACGGGGACCCGCACA